rnacentral:rRNA from 1 species
UAGGGAAUCUUCCGCAAUGGACGAAAGUCUGACGGAGCAACGCCGCGUGAGUGAAGAAGGAUUUCGGUUCGUAAAACUCUGUUGUUAGGGAAGAAAAAAUGUAUAGUAACUAUAUACAAAAGAGACGGUACCUAACCAGAAAGCCACGGCUAACUACGUGCCAGCAGCCGCGGUAAUACGUAGGUGGCAAGCGUUGUCCGGAAUUAUUGGGCGUAAAGCGCGCGCAGGUGGUUUAGAAAGUCUGAUGUGAAAGCCCACGGCUCAACCGUGGAGGGUCAUUGGAAACUAAUAAACUUGAGUGCAGGAGAGAAAAGUGGAAUUCCUAGUGUAGCGGUGAAAUGCGUAGAGAUUAGGAGGAACACCGGUGGCGAAAGCGGCUUUUUGGCCUGCAACUGACACUGAGGAGCGAAAGCGUGGGGAGCAAACAGG